rnacentral:rRNA from 1 species
GGGUUGUGAGGUUAAGCGACUAAGCGUACACGGUGGAUGCCCUGGCAGUCAGAGGCGAUGAAGGGCGUGCUAAUCUGCGAUAAGCGCCGGUAAGGUGAUAUGAACCGUUAUAACCGGCGAUACCCGAAUGGGGAAACCCAGUGUGACUCGUCACACUAUCAUUAACUGAAUCCAUAGGUUAAUGAGGCGAACCGGGGGAACUGAAACAUCUAAGUACCCCGAGGAAAAGAAAUCAACCGAGAUUCCCCCAGUAGCGGCGAGCGAACGGGGAGGAGCCCAGAGCCUGAAUCAGCAUGUGUGUUAGUGGAAGCGUCUGGAAAGGCGCGCGAUACAGGGUGACAGCCCCGUACACAAAAGCGCAUGUGCUGUGAGCUCGAUGAGUAGGGCGGGACACGUGGUAUCCUGUCUGAAUAUGGGGGGACCAUCCUCCAAGGCUAAAUACUCCUGACUGACCGAUAGUGAACCAGUACCGUGAGGGAAAGGCGAAAAGAACCCCGGCGAGGGGAGUGAAAAAGAACCUGAAACCGUGUACGUACAAGCAGUGGGAGCACCCUUUGGGGUGUGACUGCGUACCUUUUGUAUAAUGGGUCAGCGACUUAUAUUCUGUAGCAAGGUUAACCGAAUAGGGGAGCCGGAGGGAAACCGAGUCUUAAUUGGGCGUUAAGUUGCAGGGUAUAGACCCGAAACCCGGUGAUCUAGCCAUGGGCAGGUUGAAGGUUGGGUAACACUAACUGGAGGACCGAACCGACUAAUGUUGAAAAAUUAGCGGAUGACCUGUGGCUGGGGGUGAAAGGCCAAUCAAACCGGGAGAUAGCUGGUUCUCCCCGAAAGCUAUUUAGGUAGCGCCUCGUGAAUUCAUCUCCGGGGGUAGAGCACUGUUUCGGCUAGGGGGCCAUCCCGGCUUACCAACCCGAUGCAAACUGCGAAUACCGGAGAAUGUUAUCACGGGAGACACACGGCGGGUGCUAACGUCCGUCGUGAAGAGGGAAACAACCCAGACCGCCAGCUAAGGUCCCAAAGUCAUGGUUAAGUGGGAAACGAUGUGGGAAGGCCCAGACAGCCAGGAUGUUGGCUUAGAAGCAGCCAUCAUUUAAAGAAAGCGUAAUAGCUCACUGGUCGAGUCGGCCUGCGCGGAAGAUGUAACGGGGCUAAACCAUGCACCGAAGCUGCGGCAGCGAACGUAUCACUUAAAGCGAUUCAGCGGGUUACGAUUGACGGAGCGAAGCGACGUCAAAGCGUAUACAAAGUCGAGUCGGUUUAAGGAUACGUUCGUUGGGUAGGGGAGCGUUCUGUAAGCCUGUGAAGGUGGCCUGUGAGGGUUGCUGGAGGUAUCAGAAGUGCGAAUGCUGACAUAAGUAACGAUAAAGCGGGUGAAAAGCCCGCUCGCCGGAAGACCAAGGGUUCCUGUCCAACGUUAAUCGGGGCAGGGUGAGUCGACCCCUAAGGCGAGGCCGAAAGGCGUAGUCGAUGGGAAACGGGUUAAUAUUCCCGUACUUGGUGUUACUGCGAAGGGGGGACGGAGAAGGCUAUGUUGGCCGGGCGACGGUUGUCCCGGUUUAAGCGUGUAGGCUGGUUUUCCAGGCAAAUCCGGAAAAUCAAGGCUGAGGCGUGACGACGAGGCACUACGGUGCUGAAGCAACAAAUGCCCUGCUUCCAGGAAAAGCCUCUAAGCAUCAGGUAACAUCAAAUCGUACCCCAAACCGACACAGGUGGUCAGGUAGAGAAUACCAAGGCGCUUGAGAGAACUCGGGUGAAGGAACUAGGCAAAAUGGUGCCGUAACUUCGGGAGAAGGCACGCUGACACGUAGGUGAAGUGAUUUACUCAUGGAGCUGAAGUCAGUCGAAGAUACCAGCUGGCUGCAACUGUUUAUUAAAAACACAGCACUGUGCAAACACGAAAGUGGACGUAUACGGUGUGACGCCUGCCCGGUGCCGGAAGGUUAAUUGAUGGGGUCAGCGCAAGCGAAGCUCCUGAUCGAAGCCCCGGUAAACGGCGGCCGUAACUAUAACGGUCCUAAGGUAGCGAAAUUCCUUGUCGGGUAAGUUCCGACCUGCACGAAUGGCGUAAUGAUGGCCAGGCUGUCUCCACCCGAGACUCAGUGAAAUUGAACUCGCUGUGAAGAUGCAGUGUACCCGCGGCAAGACGGAAAGACCCCGUGAACCUUUACUAUAGCUUGACACUGAACAUUGAGCCUUGAUGUGUAGGAUAGGUGGGAGGCUUUGAAGCGUGGACGCCAGUCUGCGUGGAGCCGACCUUGAAAUACCACCCUUUAAUGUUUGAUGUUCUAACGUGGACCCGUUA